rnacentral:rRNA from 1 species
GCGAGUCAGGUGUCUUCGGACGCCGGCAUACGGCUCAGUAACACGUAGGUAACCUACCCUCAGGACUGAGAUAACCCCGGGAAACUGGGGCUAAUAUUAGAUAGAUAAAAGAUACUGGAAUGUUCUUUUACUCAAAGCUUUUGCGCCUGAGGAUGGGCCUGCGUCCGAUUAGGUUGUUGGUGGGGUAAUGGCCCACCAAGCCUAUGAUCGGUACGGGCAGUGGGAGCUGAAGCCCGGAGUUGGGGACUGAGACAAGGCCCCAGGCCCUACGGGGCGCAGCAGGCGCGAAACCUCUGCAAUGCGGGAAACCGUGACAGGGGAAUUCCAAGUGCUCAUGCAUUGCAUGGGCUGUUCUUUGGUCUAAGUAACCAGAGGAGUAAGGGCUGGGCAAGACCGGUGCCAGCCGCCGCGGUAAUACCGGCAGCUCAAGUGGUAGCCGCGAUUAUUGGGCCUAAAGCGUUCGUAGCCGGAUAAGUAAGUCUUUGGUUAAAUCCUGCGACUUAACCGUGGGAAAUCUAGAGAUACUGCUCGUCUUGAGACCGGGAGAGGUUGGAGGUACUUUUAGGGUAGGGGUGAAAUCCUGUAAUCCUAAGGGGACCACCUGUGGCGAAGGCGUCCAACUGGAACGGGUCUGACGGUGAGGGACGAAACCUAGGGGAGCGAGCCGGAUUAGAUACCCGGGUAGUCCUAGGCGUAAAUGAUGCGAGUUAAGUGUGGGGGCAUCUACGAGAUGGCCCUGUGCUGUAGGGUAGCCGUUAAACUCGCCGCCUGGGGAGUACGGUCGCAAGGCUGAAACUUAAAGGAAUUGGCGGGGGGAGCACCACAAGAGGUGGAGGCUGCGGUUCAAUUGGACUCAACGCCGGAAAACUCACCGGAGGCGACGGUUACAUGAAGGCCAGGCUGAUGACCUUGCCUGAUUCUCCGAGAGGUGGUGCAUGGCCGCCGUCAGUUCGUACCGUAAGGCGUUCUGUUAAGUCAGAUAACGAACGAGACCCUCAUUCUUAAUUGCUACUGACAACCCCGGUUGUCAGGCACAUUAUGAAGACCGCUGACGAUAAGUCAGAGGAAGGCGAGGGCAACGGUAGGUCAGUAUGCCCUGAAUCCUCCGGGCUACACGCGCGCUACAAAGGCCAGGACAAUGGGUUUCAACACCGAAAGAUGAAGGUAAUCCCGAAACCUGGUCAUAGUUCGGAUUGAGGGUUGAAACUCACCCUCAUGAAGCUGGAAUCCGUAGUAAUCGCGGAUCAACAUCCCGCGGUGAAUAUGCCCCUGCUCCUUGCACACACCGCCCGUCAAACCAUGCGAGU